AGCAGCCGCGGUAAUUCCAGCUCCAAUAGCGUAUAUUAAAGUUGUUGCAGUUAAAAAGCUCGUAGUUGAAUUUCGGGAUCAAUAUGUCGGUCGUGCCUUCGGUACGUACUGGUAUCAUUGGUCUCUCCUUUCUGACGAACCAUGAUGUCAUUAAUUUGGUGUUAUGGGGAGUUAGGACUGUUACUUUGAAAAAAUUAGAGUGUUUAGAGCAGGCUUUAGCUUGAAUACAUUAGCAUGGAAUAAUGAAAUAGGACGUUCGAACCUAUUUUGUUGGUUUCUAGGAUCAACGUAAUGAUUAAUAGGGAUAGUUGGGGGCAUUAGUAUUCAAUUGUCAGAGGUGAAAUUCUUGGAUUUAUUGAAGACUAACUACUGCGAAAGCAUUUGCCAAGGAUGUUUUCAUUAAUCAAGAACGAAAGUUAGGGGAUCGAAGACGAUCAGAUACCGUCGUAGUCUUAACCAUAAACUAUGCCGACUAGGGAUCGGAUGAUGUUAAUUUUUUAAUGACUCAUUCGGCGCCUUACG
rnacentral:rRNA from 1 species